GUGAGGAAUAUUGGUCAAUGGGCGCAAGCCUGAACCAGCCAAGUCGCGUGAAGGAUGACUGCCCUAUGGGUUGUAAACUUCUUUUGUAAUGGGAGAAACCGGAUUACGUGUAAUCCGUUGACAGUACAUUACGAAUAAGCAUCGGCUAACUCCGUGCCAGCAGCCGCGGUAAUACGGAGGAUGCGAGCGUUAUCCGGAUUUAUUGGGUUUAAAGGGUGCGUAGGCGGUUUUGUAAGUUAGUGGUCAAAUGUCAUGGCUUAACCUUGGCUUGCCAUUAAAACUGCAGGACUCGAGUACAGACGAGGUAGGCGGAAUAAGUUAAGUAGCGGUGAAAUGCAUAGAUAUAACUUAGAACUCCGAUAGCGAAGGCAGCUUACCAGACUGUAACUGACGCUGAUGCACGAGAGCAUGGGUAGCGAACAGGAUUAGAAACCCGUGUAGUCC
rnacentral:rRNA from 1 species